rnacentral:rRNA from 1 species
AUUGAACGCUGGCGGCAGGCCUAACACAUGCAAGUCGAACGAGUGGCGGACGGGUGAGUAAUGUCUGGGAAACUGCCUGAUGGAGGGGGAUAACUACUGGAAACGGUAGCUAAUACCGCAUACCAUCAGAUGUGCCCAGAUUGGAUUAGCUUGUUGGGGGGGUAACGGCUCACCAAGGCGACGAUCCCUAGAUGUUCUGAGAGGAUUACCAGCCACACUGGAACUUAGCCACGGUCCAGACUCCUACGGUAUGCAGCAGUGGGGAAUAUUGCACAAUUGGCGCAAGCCUGAUGCAGCCAGGCCGCGUGUAUGAAGAAGUCCUUCGGGUUGUAAAGUACUUUCAGCGGGGAGGCGUUACCCGCAGAAGAAGCACCGGCUAACUCCGUGCCAGCAGCCGCGGUAAUUC